rnacentral:ncRNA from 1 species
UAAAACACCGUGAUGGGGAGAGUAGCAACUACUUAUUUUUCAAGCGAGCUUCGAUUAGUGCAAGGAAGUAAAAGUAGGUAAUUGUGAAAGUAGCCUCGGAGUGGCGGAUGCGACGUUUAUGAAGUGUCCGUUGGGAGCGCCCAUUAUUGCGCCAACGUCUUGAAAAAGUAUUUUAAUGCUUUCUCAGCACGGGGUAAGGCUAUUACUGCGAAGUAAUAGUAAAUUUAAGGUGGUAACACGCAAUUCAGCGUCCUUUAA